AAUGCUCAUGGUUCAUUGAAGGACAAGAAUCACUUGUAAGCCCUUUAAUGGGUGGGCUGCAGGAGAGAAACACUCGGAACAGCAGAAGUUGUCUCUGGAGAGCAAGACAUGUUGAAGAUCUUGGAAGUCUCAGAGCAUCUGGUCUUACCAGAAAGUAAAUGGAAGGUGGGCCACAGUGGACUGAAGCAAAGGAAAGUAUAAUCCUUGGAAUUGUCAUUGUGUCAUAGACAUUAUGGAUAAUCUUAUUUAAUGUUACUAUAAGGAAAUGGCUACAUUCUGUUUUUCCCCCAAAUCAUAAAUCACUCAAUAAUUUCAUUUGAACAGGUAGUUUGCCAGAUAGUGUUUUAUUGAAUCUAAGAAACCAUGUAUUUUAAAGUACGUCAUUAUUUUGUGUAUUGCUAGGAAAGAAAAGGCACUGCCAUUGAGGGAGAUAUUAAAUGUGAGAAAGUCUGGAAAUCGAUCAGAAAUGGUACAUCCUUCUGUCUGAUGAGCUCAUUUUAACAUCCUUUUUGUCUCCCCCUUCCCA
rnacentral:lncRNA from 1 species